UGUCCGGUGAGCGAGCGCCAGUGUCUGAGCCCUCGGGACGCUCUGGGGCGGCCACAGUAGGAGGAUGCAGAAGUGAGGUGAGCGUGGGGCCCCCCAGGGCCGAGGGCGCGGGAUGGGGCAGCCGGGUGGUCCGGGAGCGCAGGGCUUCGGCGCUGGGAACCCCCAGCAGAGCACGCGGUCCGGACACACGCCUUUGGCCGCCGGCGCCUCCUCGGGGCGCACUGCGGGCCCGGCGGGGGGACGGCGCCCCCUGGUGGCCGACUCCCGCUGUGCCUGGCUCUCCCGCCGGCUAGGCGCCGCUCUCCGCAGACCUCAGCUCUCGCAUUCCCCAGCGCGCCUUCUCGGUGCAAGGGAGAGAAAAGGAGCCAAGACCACAGCCUGCUGUUGUGCAGGUUCCUCGGCUGUGAAACGGCAAUGAUAAUCUCAUCUCAGAGGACUGUGGUGACGAUUAAAGGUGUAAACUUAUCCAACACAUUUGGAACGGUGUCUGGGUGCUCUACACACCUGAGCUGUUGAAACUCUGGCCUCAGGAGUCCUUCUGGAAUCUAGGUGUGUCUGGACUCAGUUCAAGGAGCCAGACAGGAGCAGUGCGAAACCUGCCUCAGCCCUCUCCCAGUGUGGACCCAAGGGACAACGUCUGCCUCAUCCAGACUCCCACCCAGUUCCUCUUCUGAAGAGGUGAACAUGAGCUCUGACCUGGGAGCCACGACCAGUCUGGCCUUCUGCUCACGGCCUGCCGCUUGAAAUGAAUAAAUGAAGGCACAAGUGACAGCCGACCAGGCCUCACUUUCCACAUCUGUAGGGUAGGACUUGCCCUGGCCGCCAGGGCCGGUGGAAGCUCUAGGUGAGAUUCCUCCACUGCACAUCAGCUCAUUGCUCCUCGUCCUCCCCAGGGACCUUGCUCAGUGCAAAACCAUCAAGGACUUUCUGCUCCUGCUCAUCAAUCGUGGCAGCAUGUUAUGAAAUGGAGGUACCUUGGGAUCCAGGCAGACUGGAUCACUGAGCCACCGGUUGGAGGCCACUGCCCUGGAGAGUCACACAGCGCCACAGUGGACUUAAGGUGAGCAAGAUAUGAAUUCCUGUUGUGUCAUGUAGCAGAUUGGUGAGAUUUGUUGCUGCAGCAGAGCAGAGCCUAUCCUGACUGAAUUACCAAUUAAAGGAGUUUGUUAAAUGAAUGGCUGGCUUUGUGGGCUCUGAUUCUGUGCACAUUUUGUUAUGCUCUUGUUAUCAAGGUGUAGCAGGUGCCAGGUGGGCAGCAAUUUCAGAAGCUGGGCUGACCCUGUGCUGAGUGGUAAUGCUGCAGGGGCGGGGUGGGAAGCAGGUGCAUGGGCAGGGUA